rnacentral:rRNA from 1 species
GUAGGGAAUAUUGGGCAAUGGAUGCAAGUCUGACCCAGCCAUCCCGCGUGCCGGAAGAAGGCCCUCAGGGUUGUAAACGGCUUUUGACGGUGAAGAAUCGACAGGAUGCGUCCUGUUUUGACGGUAGCCGUUGAAUAAGCACCGGCUAACUCCGUGCCAGCAGCCGCGGUAAUACGGUGGGUGCGAGCGUUGUCCGGAUUUAUUGGGUUUAAAGGGUGCGUAGGCUGGAAGGUCAGUCAGCGGUGAAAAGCUGUCGCUUAACGAUAGUCUUGCCGCAGAUACUUCCUUUCUUGGAUGAGGAGGAGGCCACUGGAACGGAUGGUGUAGCGGUGAAAUGCAUAGAUAUCAUCCAGAACACCGAUUGCGAAGGCAGGUGGCUGUACCUUAAUCGACGCUGAUGCACGAAAGCAUGGGGAGCAAACAGGAUUAGAUACCCUAGUAGUCC